rnacentral:rRNA from 1 species
GACGAACGCUGGCGGCGUGCUUAACACAUGCAAGUCGAACGGAAAGGCCCUGCUUUUGUGGGGUGCUCGAGUGGCGAACGGGUGAGUAACACGUGAGUAACCUGCCCUUGACUUUGGGAUAACUUCAGGAAACUGGGGCUAAUACCGGAUAGGAGCUCCUGCUGCAUGGUGGGGGUUGGAAAGUUUCGGCGGUUGGGGAUGGACUCGCGGCUUAUCAGCUUGUUGGUGGGGUAGUGGCUUACCAAGGCUUUGAAGGGUAGCCGGCCUGAGAGGGUGACCGGCCACAUUGGGACUGAGAUACGGCCCAGACUCGUACGGGAGGCAGCAGUGGGGAAUAUUGCACAAUGGGCGGAAGCCUGAUGCAGCAACGCCGCGUGCGGGAUGACGGCCUUCGGGUUGUAAACCGCUUUCGCCUGUGACGAAGCGUGAGUGACGGUAAUGGGUAAAGAAGCACCGGCUAACUACGUG